CCUACGGGUGGCAGCAGUGAGGAAUAUUGGUCAAUGGACGAGAGUCUGAACCAGCCAAGUAGCGUGAAGGAUGACUGCCCUAUGGGUUGUAAACUUCUUUUAUAAAGGAAUAAAACGAGGCACGUGUGCCUUUUUGCAUGUACUUUAUGAAUAAGGAUCGGCUAACUCCGUGCCAGCAGCCGCGGUAAUAAGGAGGAUCCGAGCGUUAUCCGGAUUUAUUGGGUUUAAAGGGGGCGCAGGCGGCCUGUUAAGUCAGCGGUAAAAGCCCGGGGCUCAACCCCGGCGAGCCGUUGAAACUGGCGGGCUGGAGUUGGAGAGAAGUACGCGGAAUGCGCGGUGUAGCGGUGAAAUGCUGAGAUAUCGCGCAGAACCCCGAUUGCGAAGGCAGCGUGCCGUGCCGCCACUGACGCUGAGGCACGAAAGCGCGGGGAUCGAACAGGAUUAGAUACCCGGGUAGUC
rnacentral:rRNA from 1 species